UGGGGAAUAUUGGACAAUGGAGGAAACUCUGAUCCAGCAAUUCUGUGUGUGUGAAGAAGGUUUUAGGACUGUAAAACACUUUUAGUAGGGAAGAAAAAAAUGACGGUACCUACAGAAGAAGCAACGGCUAAAUACGUGCCGGCAGCCGCGGUAAUACGUAUGUUGCGAGCGUUAUCCGGAAUUAUUGGGCUUAAAGGGCAUCUAGGCGGUAAGACAAGUUGAAGGUGAAAACCUGUGGCUCAACCAUAGGCUUGCCUACAAAACUGUUGAACUAGAGUACUGGAAAGGUGGGUGGAACUACACGAGUAGAGGUGAAAUUCGUAGAUAUGUGUAGGAAUGCCGAUGAUGAAGAUAACUCACUGGACAGAAACUGACGCUGAAGUGCGAAAGCUAGGGGAGCAAACAGG
rnacentral:rRNA from 1 species